rnacentral:tRNA from 1 species
GGGGCUGUAGCUCAAUUUGGGAGAGCGCAUGACUGGCAGUCAUGAGGUCAGGGGUUCGAUCCCCCUCAGCUCCACCA